GAUGAACGCUAGCGGCAGGCCUAAUACAUGCAAGUCGGACGGGAUUCAGGAGCUUGCUUCUGAUGAGAGUGGCGCACGGGUGCGUAACACGUAUGUAACCUACCUUUAUCAGGGGGAUAGCCUCUCGAAAGAGAGAUUAAGCCCGCAUAAAAUCACAGCACAGCAUUGUGUAAUGAUCAAAUAUUUAUAGGAUAAAGAUGGGCAUGCGGAACAUUAGCUAGAUGGCGGGGUAACGGCCCACCAUGGCGACGAUGUUUAGGGGAUCUGAGAGGAUGGCCCCCCACAGUGGAAGUGAGACCGGGACCAGACCCAUAGGGGGGGAAGCGGAAAGGAAGAUGGGACAGGGGGGGGAGGCCGAACCCUCCCUGCCCGGGGGAAGAAAGCCGGCCUUCGGGUUUUAAACUUUUUUUUAUAGGGAAAUAACCCCAGAUACGUGUACUUGGUUAAAUGUAUUUAAAAAAAAAGGUUCGGCUAACCCCGUG
rnacentral:rRNA from 1 species